CCCUUAGAGUUUGAUCCUGGCUCAGAUUGAACGCUGGCGGCAGGCCUAACACAUGCAAGUCGAGCGGAUGACGGGAGCUUGCUCCUUGAUUCAGCGGCGGACGGGUGAGUAAUGCCUAGGAAUCUGCCUGGUAGUGGGGGACAACGUUUCGAAAGGAACGCUAAUACCGCAUACGUCCUACGGGAGAAAGCAGGGGCCCUUCGGGCCUUGCGCUAUCAGAUGAGCCUAGGUCGGAUUAGCUUGUUGGUGAGGUAAUGGCUCACCAAGGCGACGAUCCGUAACUGGUCUGAGAGGAUGAUCAGUCACACUGGAACUGAGACACGGUCCAGACUCCUACGGGAGGCAGCAGUGGGGAAUAUUGGACAAUGGGCGAAAGCCUGAUCCAGCCAUGCCGCGUGUGUGAAGAAGGUCUUCGGAUUGUAAAGCACUUUAAGUUGGGAGGAAGGGCAGUAAGUUAAUACCUUGCUGUUUUGACGUUACCGACAGAAUAAGCACCGGCUAACUCUGUGCCAGCAGCCGCGGUAAUACAGAGGGUGCAAGCGUUAAUCGGAAUUACUGGGCGUAAAGCGCGCGUAGGUGGUUUGUUAAGUUGGAUGUGAAAGCCCCGGGCUCAACCUGGGAACUGCAUCCAAAACUGGCAAGCUAGAGUACGGUAGAGGGUGGUGGAAUUUCCUGUGUAGCGGUGAAAUGCGUAGAUAUAGGAAGGAACACCAGUGGCGAAGCGACCACCUGGACUGAUACUGACACUGAGUGCGAAAGCGUGGGGAGCAAACAGAUAGAUACCCUGGUAGUCACGCGUAACGAU
rnacentral:rRNA from 1 species